ensembl:lncRNA
UUCAUUCUGUGCUAUUUUUCAGUGUGAGUCAGUGAGUGACCGGUGACUGGCUGCUGCAGCCAAUGAUGCGAUUCACAUACGUAUUUACCAUAGACUGUAUAUAAUGGUAUUUACGCAGCUAAUCAACGUCAGGCGUCCUUAUGUGCAGCCACCGUUGUUCUCAUAGAUAUGAAUGAGUAGAUAGGACACGCCCCUUUGAGCUGCGUGCUACAGCGAGGCUAAGCUAGUGGGGGCAAAGUUUCAGUGCAUUCCGUUGAUGUAGACGGCGUGAAAACGGAAACAACAAGUAUGCCGGCUCACUGUGCUGCAUACAGUUACACACUACGUCGUACGAUUGAGACAAGGAAACUUGGAAUGACUUUUCAUAGGUUUCCCAGAGACUAUGGGUUGAGGAGGAAUUGGAAGUUUGUCGGCUUAGACCUGGUGUCAUUCCAUCAGUGUUAAACUUCCCGGCUCAUCUUGGAAGAGUACGUGCCAGAAAGACCACGACCAAGCAGCCUUGAGAUCUUAGGCAGCGUCUCCCUCAGGUCCCUCUCUAUCUCCCCACACAUCCACCAACCACUGGAACACAUCUCCAAAGUUCUGCUGGGCCAGCUCAGCUUCCCCUCAGAAGAAGUGCUGCCACCUGCCAGAUGAAGGAGCCUUUUGAGAGGCAGCUGGCAUCGUGAUUGGACUGUACUUUGGUCUGUUCCAAUCCAGCUUCAGCUCCAGAGACGGCAGGCGGGACGAGUCAACGGAGGCCUGGUGGACGAAGGCAUGCAGCUGAGUACAAUCCAGAAAACAACAGAGGAGGAGUGCAGGGCCAGAACAACCAGAGUAGCAUCGUAUGUCUCUUAGAAAACAUCAUAGUAUAGCCUUUGGUAUGAAAAAACGCCAUCAUAUACAUCGUAUAUUGUACAAAUAACAAGUCAAAGGAAAGAGACAUACAUUGUAGAAUUGUAG